AAUGCUUUUUAGGGGUCCAGACCGCAUUGCAUUUUCACAAAUAGGUUAAAGGUUUCACAAAUCUGAAACUAUGUUUUACAUAAUGUAUAGCCUCACUGUGAUAAUUUAGUCUAGAUUUGAAGAGUCUAGGUGUAGUGGUUUUCAAUCAGGACCCGUUCUAAUGCAGUCUGGACCCCUAAAAAGCAUUAAAAUGAGCCUGUAUUGCAUUUUCACAAAUAGAAAAAAGGUUUCACAAAUCUGUAACUAUGUUUAUUAUAAUGUAUAGCCUCACUGUGAUAAUUUAGUCCAGAUUUGAAGAGUCUAGGUGUAGUGGUUUUCAAUCAGGACCGAUUUAAAGUGGACCAGCUGCUGAAUCGGAUGCUGCGAAUCGGAUGCCAACUUCAGCUCUGCUUUCAGAGGCCAGACAUUUCUGGACUUUUGGAUGCAGCGACGCAGCGAAUAUCCUGCGCUUUCAGACAAGGCUG
ensembl:lncRNA